AUCAAUGUCUUCAGCAGUUUUAAAAUAGACUGACCUGUUGGUCUAAUUGCACUUCAUAAACAGGCUAUGAUGGUAAGAUAUGUGUGGCGGUGUCCAUUUCUUGUAUUAGUGUGAAUUAGAUUCACACCAGGGCAAGAACUACCUGUCAUGCUGAGAAUGUGUCUAAUUUGCUAGCUUCACCAGCACCUUAUAGAAUUGCAAAAAUGGGUGCUUGAUUGGACUGGUUUAGUACUUGCCUCGUUAAAUAAAUAAAUAAAUCUAAUUAAAAAGUAGGUGGACAUUUUUUCUACUCUACCCAGCAGCUUUAAUUGGCAGACAAUUUGAUCAGAAUUGGUAAAGCUAAACUUCCUGUGCUUGUUGAGAUGGAUCGGACUCUCCUGCAGAGGGCGCCACUCUGAAAUAGUAUUUUUCAGAGGAGCAUCUGGUCGCGGUAGUGAGGGGUGGUGAUAUCUAAAGUGCUGUGGCCACCCCCUGCCUGGCUGACGGUCGCAGCUAGCGCACUGUCACGACGGAGCACAUUCUGAGCAAAAGGCUCAGGUUAUAUUUUUGGACUGCCAUGGAGACUGGCCCUUCCAUAUGUAGGAAGGGUGUAUAGUUGUGCUCAACAUGAGCCUCCCGCUCUGAUAAUCCGGGCCGGGACAAGCAGGCAGCAGCCGGCCGAUCCCAAGUAGCAGACACACAGGGACUCCCCUGUCGGGAGUGUGUUGGUCAACGGUAAGAAGAAUAACCUGGUCCAGUUUGUCUUACUGUUGCAGAGUGGGCCCUUUAAAACAUGAUCAGUGGUGGACUGCAUUUGAGCUUGACUAGUAGAGGCCAAAAACCUACAAACCUACAUGGACAAACCAUUUAAGUGAAAUAAAGAAUGCUGUGAGAGAACUAUAAUAUUCUGAUUUGUAGGCCUAUCACAUUCCUUUAAAAUCUAAAUACAACUAU
rnacentral:lncRNA from 1 species